rnacentral:rRNA from 1 species
CCUACGGGAGGCAGCAGUGAGGAAUAUUGGACAAUGGACGCAAGCCUGAACCAGCCAUGCCGCGUGCAGGAAGACGGCUCUAUGAGUUGUAAACUGCUUUUGUACGAGGGUAAACGCUGAUACGCGUAUCUGUCUGAAAGUAUCGUACGAAUACGGAUCGGCUAACUCCGUGCCAGCAGCCGCGGUAAUACGGAGGAUUCAAGCGUUAUCCGGAUUUAUUGGGUUUAAAGGGUGCGUAGGCGGUCGGUUAAGUUAGAGGUGAAAUCCCGAGGCUCAACUUCGGAAUUGCAUCUGAUACUGUUCAGCUAGAGAGUAGGAGCGGUAGGCGGAAUG